rnacentral:rRNA from 1 species
CCUACGGGAGGCAGCAGUGGGGAAUAUUGCGCAAUGGGCGAAAGCCUGACGCAGCGACGCCGCGUGAGGGAUGAAGGUCUUCGGAUCGUAAACCUCUGUCAGCAGGGAAGAACGGUCACUGUGCUAAUCAGCAGUGAAUUGACGGUACCUGCAAAGGAAGCACCGGCUAACUCCGUGCCAGCAGCCGCGGUAAUACGGAGGGUGCGAGCUUUAAUCGGAAUUACUGGGCGUAAAGCGCUCGUAGGCGGUAUGUCAAGUCAAGGGUGAAAUCCCCGCGCUCAACGUGGGAAGUGCCUUUGAAACUGGCAAACUGGAGUGUGUGAGAGGAUAGUGGAAUUCGAGGUGUAGGAGUGAAAUGCGUAGAUAUCUGGAGGAACAUCAGUGGCGAAGGCGACUAUCUGGCACAUAACUGACGCUGAGGAGCGAAAGCGUGGGUAGCAAACAGGAUUAGAUACCCGAGUAGUC